rnacentral:rRNA from 1 species
UAGUAUUUUUUAUUUUGGCUCAGAAUGAACGCUGGCGGCAUGCCUAACACAUGCAAGUCGAACGAAGGCCCGAUUUCGGUUGGGUCCUUAGUGGCGCACGGGUGCGUAACGCGUGGGAAUCUGCCCCUUGGUUCGGAAUAACAGUUAGAAAUGACUGCUAAUACCGGAUGAUGACGUAAGUCCAAAGAUUUAUCGCCGAGGGAUGAGCCCGCGUAGGAUUAGCUAGUUGGUGUGGUAAGAGCGCACCAAGGCGACGAUCCUUAGCUGGUCUGAGAGGAUGAUCAGCCACACUGGGACUGAGACACGGCCCAGACUCCUACGGGAGGCAGCAGUGGGGAAUAUUGGACAAUGGGCGAAAGCCUGAUCCAGCAAUGCCGCGUGAGUGAUGAAGGCCUUAGGGUUGUAAAGCUCUUUUACCCGGGAUGAUAAUGACAGUACCGGGAGAAUAAGCUCCGGCUAACUCCGUGCCAGCAGCCGCGGUAAUACGGAGGGAGCUAGCGUUAUUCGGAAUUACUGGGCGUAAAGCGCACGUAGGCGGCUUUGUAAGUAAGAGGUGAAAGCCCAGAGCUCAACUCUGGAAUUGCCUUUUAGACUGCAUCGCUUGAAUCAUGGAGAGGUCAGUGGAAUUCCGAGUGUAGAGGUGAAAUUCGUAGAUAUUCGGAAGAACACCAGUGGCGAAGGCGGCUGACUGGACAUGUAUGACGCUGAGUGCGAAAGACUUA